GGAGCUUAGCUCAGUCGGUAGAGCGGCGGUUUUGAAAUCCGCGCGUCGGGGGUUCGAUUGCCUCAGUCCA
rnacentral:tRNA from 2 species